UACAGAGGUCUCAAGCGUUGUUCGGAUUCAUUGGGCGUAAAGGGUGCGUAGGUGGUGUCGUAAGUCGGGUGUGAAAUCCCGGGGCUCAACCCCGGAACUGCACUCGAUACUGCGAUGCUCGAGGGCCGGAGAGGAGAUUGGAAUUCACGGUGUAGCAGUGAAAUGCGUAGAUAUCGUGAGGAAGACCAGUGGCGAAGGCGAAUCUCUGGACGGUUCCUGACACUGAGGCACGAAGGCCAGGGGAGCAAACGGG
rnacentral:rRNA from 1 species